ACAAAGUGACAGGUGGUGCAUGGUUGUCGUCAGCUCGUGUCGUGAGAUGUUGGGUUAAGUCCCGCAACGAGCGCAACCCUUAAGCUUAGUUGCCAGCAUUAAGUUGGGCACUCUAAGUUGACUGCCGGUGACAAACCGGAGGAAGGUGGGGAUGACGUCAAAUCAUCAUGCCCCUUAUGAUUUGGGCUACACACGUGCUACAAUGGACAAUACAAAGGGCAGCUAAACCGCGAGGUCAUGCAAAUCCCAUAAAGUUGUUCUCAGUUCGGAUUGUAGUCUGCAACUCGACUACAUGAAGCUGGAAUCGCUAGUAAUCGUAGAUCAGCAUGUUACGGUGAAUACGUUCCCGGGUCUUGUACACACCGCCCGUCACACCACGAGAGUCUGUAACACCCGAAGCCGGUGGAGUAACCAUUUAUGGAGCUAGCCGUCGAAGGUGGGACAAAUGAUUGGGGUGAAGUCGUAACAAGGUAGCCGUAUCGGAAGGUGCGGUUGGAUCACCUC
rnacentral:rRNA from 1 species